rnacentral:rRNA from 1 species
CCUACGUGGGGCAGCAGUGAGGAAUAUUGGUCAAUGGGCGCGAGCCUGAACCAGCCAAGUAGCGUGAAGGAUGACUGCCCUACGGGUUGUAAACUUCUUUUUUAAAGGAAUAAAGUGAGGCACGUGUGCCUUUUUGUAUGUACUUUAUGAAUAAGGAACGGCUAACGCCGUGCCAGCAGCCGCGGUAAUACGGAGGAUCCGAGCGUUAUCCGGAUUUCUUGGGUUUAAAGGGAGCGUAGGUGGGUUGUUAAGUCAGUUGUGAAAGUUUGCGGCUCAACCGUAAAAUUGCAAUUGAUACUGGCAGUCUUGAGUACAGUUGAGGUAGGCGGAAUUCGUGGUGUAGCGGGGAAAUGCUUAGAUAUCACGAAGAACUCCGAUUGCGGAGGCAGCUUACUAAGCUGCCACUGACAUUGAUGCUCGAAAGUGUGGGUAUCAAACAGGAUUAGAUACCCCUGUAGUC